AUUGAACGCUGGCGGCAUGCCUUACACAUGCAAGUCGAACGGCAGCACGGGAGCAAUCCUGGUGGCGAGUGGCGAACGGGUGAGUAAUAUAUCGGAACGUGCCCAGUAGUGGGGGAGUAGCCGGCGAAAGCCGGAUUAAUACCGCAUACGACCUGAGGGUGGAAAGCGGGGGAGUCGCAAGACCUCGCGCUAUUGGAGCGGCCGAUAUCAGAUUAGCUAGUUGGUGGGGUAAAGGCCUACCAAGGCUACGAUCUGUAGUUGGUCUGAGAGGACGACCAGCCACACUGGGACUGAGACACGGCCCAGACUCCUACGGGAGGCAGCAGUGGGGAAUUUUGGACAAUGGGCGCAAGCCUGAUCCAGCAAUGCCGCGUGCAGGAAGAAGGCC
rnacentral:rRNA from 1 species